UACGUAGGGGGCAAGCGUUGUCCGGAUUUAUUGGGCGUAAAGAGCGUGUAGGCGGUCAUGUAGGUCCGUUGUGAAAACUCGAGGCUCAACCUCGAGCAUCGUCCGGUGAACCGUAAACAGUCUGACUAGAGUCCGGAAGAGGAGAGUGGAAUUCCUGGUGUAGCGGUGAAAUGCGCAGAUAUCAGGAGGAACACCGGUGGCGAAGGCGGUUCUCUGGGCCUUACCUGACGCUGAGGAGCGAAAGCGUGGGGAGCAAACAGG
rnacentral:rRNA from 1 species